ensembl:lncRNA
UUCGGGCUCCAAGCCAGAGCCUUCACAGUCCUCUUUCUGUCCCUUUCCCUGCGAGCGAGUGGCAGCCAGGGGAGUUAUGCGUUGCUGCAACGCGCCGCGGAGAGCAGCAGCGGGCCGGGCACAGCUGGCCCAACAAACGUUCUUCUGAGCUUCGCGUCCUUCGCUCCGAGUUCUGGCUCAGCUCCUGGAACUAGCUGGGUGCCAGCGGCGUUCCGGAGAGUCCAGCCAGCUCCAGGCGUCUGGGCGCUUCGAGUCUUUGAUCUUCAGAACCUGGCAGCCUCUGCUGCUCCACUCUCCUCCCGGAAACCACCCAAAAGAUUAACUUCUGAAGCCCUCAGGGCAGAGGGAGGAGAAAGGGUGGGAAAAGGCGCACCGACCAGCCAUUGGGAAGGCUGCAGAGGAGGGAGGCCAGGCUCCCGAGGGCAGCGUCACGCUACGCUCCGUACUCAGCGUCCCUUGUAGGGCCUGACACCUCUAUGAACCUGGGAUCAUGAAUGAAUUCUUGACUCUUAGAGGAAUAUCUGAGAAGAAAAACGAAAAGAAAGAAAAGAAAAGCAAGCAGACACGGAGGGACCAGAUGGAACCAACUAAGCUGGCUUCUUGCAAGACUCAGGUGGCCCACUGUGGUGCAAGAAACGGAUGGCAUUUUGAUCUUGCCCCAUUCAGGUUGGGGAGUGAAGUGCAGGGGCCUUUUGCCCCCUUGCUAUGAAAGAACAGAUUCACUGACUACCAUACAUUGCUGUUCUGAAAGCAGGCUGCACAUGACCUCCAGGACCUUAGUGCUUUGCUUCCAGGCCAAGACUGCAGGAGUCAAAUCUGGCUGGCUUUGCCAAAGUACAGGUGUAUGUAGUUCAGGACACUUGAUUUACAUUUGGAGGGGCUGGGGCAGGUGGAGAGGGCAAGAAAGAAGUAAAGAAGAUGGUGAUGUCAGGGGUGUCUCUUCCCAAAUAUGUAAAUAUACCCAAUAAGUUUAAAUAAGAAAUCUAAUUGCUGCUUAAUUUUUGAUCAUGUACUUUAUCUGUAUAGCAAGCUUUGUUGUCCGAAGUUUUUUUUAUCGAUUUAAAUUGCUGCCUUUGAACAGCCAGGCAGGAGCAAAAUGUUAAAUUUUUAAACUUACUUUGUCUAAUUGUCAUUUGUUAGUCGGUAGUAGAUGUGAAAAUUUAAUUUAUGAAUCCAUGAUCAUCCAUACUACACCAAAGGCAGUCUCUGGAGCACUUAUGGCAAGGUGGCCCCUUUGUGUGCACUGGGUAUAGUUGUCUUCUUUAUCAUGUUAUUUUCAAUAUUAAAUACCUAAGCUGCCAUAUGAGUUUUUAUCUUUACAGUUUUCAAGGAAGAGCACAGAAAAAUUUCCCAUUUCAUAUUCAUAGUAUGUAAGUGGGUUCUAUUUUGUAAUGCUGAAAAUACUUAACAGUGCAUUGAACACUUGGAAGGGAAAUACUUUUUGGUGUUGAUUCUGUUAAUGACUCAGAAGAACAGUACACACCCUUGUGGAUUUUUUUUCCUCAGGUCUGAGUAGCAUUGCCUUAAAUCUUACCCAAUUAGAAAGUCACUUUAUUUAAUGUGAUGUUCAAAUUUUCCACCAAAAAAUCCUUCCAAACAAAAGACAUACUUCUUCUCCAAAAGUGUUCUGUGCUAUCGCAAAUACUCCUUGAGAUUUUAAAGGAAUUUCCAUGUUGUACCCUUUAGUGGCAGCCUUGACUGUUGGCAUAGCCAUCUGUUAUGUAGUGGUAGGCAACUUUCCUGCCAUGCAGGACUCCCUCCUGUGAAGUGUAUGUUUUAUACAGUGUGUGCCUCUUCAUGUGGCGAAUAAUUUCUUGUUAAUGUAUGUUUGAGGGGCUUUGAAUGUCAGCAUUAUUUACCCACAGAGUUAUUCAAGUUGUAAAAGGUUAUACAAUAAUUUAACAACUACUUUUUUUAUUCUGUCAGGUUACUGAGCUCACUUUACGAAAGUGGCUGUAAGUACUUAGCAUGACAAAUUCUGUAACUCAUCUGUUUCAGCAUGCAUUAGGGAAACUGAUAAUGCUUGAGUCCACUAAAUCUGCCUUCAGUACUUUAUCAAAGAGGAACCAAGCCUGCUGUGCUUAUAUCAGCAUCUCGAAGAUUCUUUGGUCCUCCAAUCAGUGUACACAUCUCCACACAAAGAAGAGAAAACCAUCUCUGCUCAGAUACCUAUCGGAUGGAGACACCUGAGUGAACUUUGAUGAAGUACAGUCUGAGUUACCAUCAUGCACGAGUAGAACUGCUCUUGGACCUGUCUUUCUGUCAUUUGCAGAACCUACAUGUUUGAUUGACUUGAACGUUGCAUCUUUUGAGGCUAUUUUGUAAGGUCUCUUGGCAUUUAUCCUAGUUGUCUGUUUGGCAAUGUGCUGUUGAAGUAAGAGACUUUUAAUCUUUAUGUAUAUUUUGUUUUCCCUUGAGAUAUUAUAGUGGUUUCUUUUAGGAAAAUCUGUCAUUAAAAUUAUAGCCUUGCAAAUAACCAAUGAC